rnacentral:rRNA from 1 species
AUUGAACGCUGGCGGCAUGCCUUACACAUGCAAGUCGAACGGCAGCACGGGUGCUUGCACCUGGUGGCGAGUGGCGAACGGGUGAGUAAUACAUCGGAACAUGUCCUGUAGUGGGGGAUAGCCCGGCGAAAGCCGGAUUAAUACCGCAUACGAUCUACGGAUGAAAGCGGGGGACCUUCGGGCCUCGCGCUAUAGGGUUGGCCGAUGGCUGAUUAGCUAGUUGGUGGGGUAAAGGCCUACCAAGGCGACGAUCAGUAGCUGGUCUGAGAGGACGACCAGCCACACUGGGACUGAGACACGGCCCAGACUCCUACGGGAGGCAGCAGUGGGGAAUUUUGGACAAUGGGCGAAAGCCUGAUCCAGCAAUGCCGCGUGUGUGAAGAAGGCCUUCGGGUUGUAAAGCACGUUUGUCCGGAAAGAAAUCCUUGGCCCUAAUACGGUCGGGGGAUGACGGUACCGGAAGAAUAAGCACCGGCUAACUACGUG